rnacentral:rRNA from 1 species
GAUGAACGCUGGCGGCGUGCCUAAUACAUGCAAGUCGAGCGGACGCACGAUGAGCUUUUUCCCCUAACGGUAGCGGGGGACGGGCGGGUAACACGUGCAUCACCAUCUUCUUUUACGGGGGGAACUACGGGAGACCAGUUCUACUACCACCUCAUACAUCCUACGGGUUGGUUCAGUAGUGAAACGCGGCUUUCCCGUUACAAUUAGACGAUUUCGCGUCGCAUUAGCUAGUUGGUAAGGUAACGGCUUACCAAGGCGACGAUGCGUAGCCGACCUGAGAGGAUGAUCGGCCACACUGGAACUGAGACACGGUCCAGACUCCUACGGGAGGCAGCAGUGGGGAAUAUUGCGCAAUGGGCGAAAGCCUGACCCAGCAACACCGCGUGGGUGAUGAAGGCCUUCGGGUCGUAAAGCUCUGUUGUUGGGAAAGAAAAACUGUGUGAGUAACCCUGGCCGUCCUGACGGUACCUAAUGAAAAAGCCCCGGCUAACUUCGUG